GAAGAUUACAAUGAUGAUAUCAAGCUCCCUCUUCUUAAUUAAUGUUGAGGACACUCGCUGGCUGAAUCGAACCAUAAUAUACUGCCAACACUGAGUAA
rfam:Daucus carota subsp. sativus cultivar DH1 chromosome 5, whole genome shotgun sequence.